AGCGAACGCUGGCGGCAGGCCUAACACAUGCAAGUCGAACGAACCUUUCGGGGUUAGUGGCGGACGGGUGAGUAACACGUGGGAACGUGCCUUUAGGUUCGGAAUAACUCAGGGAAACUUGUGCUAAUACCGAAUGUGCCCUUCGGGGGAAAGAUUUAUCGCCUUUAGAGCGGCCCGCGUCUGAUUAGCUAGUUGGUUGAGGUAAUGGCUCAUCAAGGCGACGAUCAGUAGCUGGUCUGAGAGGAUGAUCAGCCACAUUGGGACUGAGACACGGCCCAAACUCCUACGGGAGGCAGCAGUGGGGAAUCUUGCGCAAUGGGCGAAAGCCUGACGCAGCCAUGCCGCGUGAAUGAUGAAGGUCUUAGGAUUGUAAAAUUCUUUCACCGGGGACGAUAAUGACGGUACCCGGAGAAGAAGCCCCGGCUAACUUCGUG
rnacentral:rRNA from 1 species